AUUUCAGAGUGAACGUUUCAGCCUCAUGCAGUAGCAGUGGCAGGGAGAGAACGGCAUGGCGACGCUUGCACUGUGGAGCAUGUCUGGUGCCGCUUGCUCCCUCUGGUCUCCAUCGAGUUGUCCUUUCAAAGAUGCAGACUAGGACCAAAAAGAAAAGUUUGCCCCUAUUUCUCUGAGGUCAACAUCGAAGAAGAAUCUAGCAACCACGGCUUUAGUUUGUUAACGAGCUUGGUUUUGGCCUAUAAUGCGAUAUUCUUUUGCCAUUCAAUGUUCUUCUCUUGAUUAUUUUGUUGGUUUUGUUUGUUCCCAGUUAAAGCGCUCCAGCAUCGAGGAAACGAGUUUAUUUGAUUUUAGAGUAUGCACCCAAAGGUGAUCUUUACAAGGAAUUGCAAAAAUGCAAAUAUUUCAGUUAAAGGCGUGUAACUAUUUAUAUUUCACCAUUGGCCCGAGCCCUUAUAUACUGCCAUGGAAAACAUGUAAUACAUAGGGAUAUUAAACCAGAGAACCUUCUUAUUGGUUCAUAGAUGCAAUGUAGAUGCAAGAGAUUUAUAGAGCUUAUGAUUACUUUUUGAAGAAGGAUUAUGUGAUAAAGGAGAAACAUUUGUAAGUUGGUUCUUAAUCUCCUUCCUCACUUUGCUCCUAAUGAUCUUAAUAGUGUGUUUGUGUUCUCUUUUUAAUUUUUGGGACAAAGCUUUGGUGUUGUUUCGCAUAUGCUUUUAGUAUUGUUCUUUAAUUCAUGCUCAGCAAUUGCAAGAGUCUCAAGAUGCACAUCAUAACAUCAUACAUCCCCAAUCUAAAUUUCAUUCUUCAUUGAUGGCUAUGGGUAGCAGUCAUACUCAAUCAGUGUAAGGUCCUCAAUAUCCACAUCAAAGUAUCCCAAACCCAUUACACGAGUUUUAUACCCCAGUGGCAAAUGCAGGCAGCAGUCAACCCCAGUUGUCAUGAGGCAGUGGUUAUGCUCAAUAAUUGCCAGAUCCCCAACACAUACAUCAGAAUGCCCAAAAUCCUCAGCCUGAUUCCAAUUCUUCCUUGGUGAAUAUGGGCCAUGCCACUGUCAUGAUGCAAUCGCAUGUUGUGUCAUCUUUAUAUCAUCUAUAUGUCCCUCAAGAAGUUGUACCUUCCAUGUAUUCAUCGCAAUGGUUUGGAGCCACACAAGGGAUGGUAUUAAGUGGUCAACAAAUUGGAAUGGGAAUGGAUCUUCACCUGCCAGUGCCAAGAGCCAGCCAGUGGUGAAUCAAAAUUACCAACCUACUGAAUAUGUGUACAAUCAUGCUGUUUUUUUUCCUACUUUCUAUUUACAUCUAAUAUUUCUAUAGUUGCUUUCAACAUAAUUGGCUUUAUUAAUGUGCAGACCUUGAGUUGUUGAAGGAUGUGAUAAGGUAUAAUAGACAAGAGCUUGAGGUUUUCUGUUAAUAAUUUAGCAACACAAAUGGGAAAACACCAAAUAGUGAGGUGUACAAUGGAACAUUGAAGGUUGGGUAUGAGAUUGUUGUGAUUUCUCUCUGCAUCAAGGAGGAGCAUUGGACAUGAUAUCUUGAGCAUUUUUAGAGAGGUGGCAGGCUUGACAAGAUUAAAUCAUGAGAAGCAAUUUGUUCUCGAUUUUGAGUUGUCCUCACCUUAACAUGCUUAUUAUAAUAUGACUUUGUGGAAGUUGGAAAAAAGGUUGGCAAGUUGGUUAAAAUUGUUAAUAAGGGAGAUCAUGACAAUGAGAUGAAACCUCCCUCAAAGCUUUUGAAAAUUCUAAUAUAUUUUUUAUAUCAACAUUGUCAAGAACAUGUUUCCUGAAUUUUCUCUCCAGCCAUUUGUGAUUUGUUUUUUCAGAUCUUAGUUUUUCCUCCUUUUGCUAUACAUGUGAAUUCAUAACAGCUAGCUAAAAAUUGUAUGAACUUUGACUAUUUGUCCAGUUUCCUGACAUAUGCCUUUAUAACCCUUAAUAUAAUCAUGGGUUUUCUUUAUUUA